CCCUUAGAUGUUCUGGGCCGCACGCGCGCUACACUGUUCGACGCAGCGAGUCUUAACCUUGACCGAAAGGUUUGGGUAAUCUUCAGCAAAGUCGAACGUGAUGGGGAUCGAUCAUUGCAAUUAUUGAUCGUGAACGAGGAAUUCCUAGUAAGUGCAAGUCAUCAGCUUGCGCUGAUUACGUCCCUGCCCUUUGUACACACCGCCCGUCGCUACUACCGAUUGAAUGGUUUAGUGAGAUCUCUGGAUUGACGCUGGCCAGGGGGCGACCCUUGGCCAGACUGUUGAGAAACUGCUCAAACUUGAUCAUUUAGAGGAAGUAAAAGUCGUAACA
rnacentral:rRNA from 1 species